rnacentral:rRNA from 1 species
GAUGAACGCUAGCGGNAGGCCUAAUACAUGCAAGUCGAACGGAAUAUAGUUUCGGAUUAUAUUUAGUGGCGCACGGGUGAGUAACACGUACAUAACUUACCCUCAAGAGGGGGAUGGCCUUGGGAAACUGAGCGUAAUACCCCAUAGUAUUAUUGAACGGCAUCGUUUGAUAAUUAAAGCUACGGCGCUUGAGGAUAGAUGUGCGUCUGAUUAGCUAGUUGGUAAGGUAACGGCUUACCAAGGCGACGAUCAGUAGGGGGCGUGAGAGCGUGGCCCCCCACACGGGUACUGAGACACGGACCCGACUCCUACGGGAGGCAGCAGUAAGGAAUAUUGGUCAAUGCCCGGAAGGGUGAACCAGCCAUGCCGCGUGAAGGAUGACUGCCCUCUGGGUUGUAAACUUCUUUUGGAUGGGACGAAAAAACGGGAUUUAUCCUGGACUGACGGUACCAUCAGAAUAAGCACCGGCUAACUCCGUG